UUUUGAAGUCCAUUUCGAAAGUUUCCACUUCUGGGCUUUCUUUGGGCUGAGGCUUUAUUUCCAACAUUCUUGGUAUGAAGCCCAAACUGUUUGGAUCUUAAUUUUUGUUUUUCUCAAGUCUCUGGGCUGGGCAGGCAAUUUUAUCAUGAGCCUGCCUUCUGGUCUUGAGCGUGCCGAAUUUGGGCCCAAACAAUGCCCCCUAAGUCUGAAUUGUUUUGGAACGGUUCCAGACUUAAUGUUUUGCCAUUUAAUUCGCGCACCAGUUUCUU
rnacentral:lncRNA from 1 species